AUGGACGACAUGGACAUUGGAGCUGUAUGUGAUGAGGGAUCUUCAGCCUCGGCAUUAUCAAGGACAACAACACCUGAACCCAGGGAAGAUGACUACCUGAUAGUAAUUCCUUAUGCCCACAUAUUUGACCUUAUGCUAAAAGCUUUGAAGUUAUCCCCUGCAAGUUACUAUCACAAGAUAUGUCCGGGCGGCAAGAAUCGUGGGACGGUUACUUUCAAUUCUUCCUUGCAAUUGCUUGAUGGUUUGCUUGUUCUGACCUCAAUAUCGGGUGCAAUUUUAGAUGGCUAUGAAGAUGCAGAAGCUAUCACAUCUAUUAGGUACAUGGAAAAUGCAUACGACAGAGAAAUGAGAGACUACCACUACACCCAUGUCAAGAGGCUAGAAAAUGAAGUCAAGCAUCUGGUCAGAUGGUUAGUAGCAGCGAACAAGACAAUCAAGAAGCUAUGCAAAGGGUGGUACUACGCCGUCAAAUAUAUGAGUUAG
rnacentral:rRNA from 1 species